GUACUCACUUUGGCAGCACAUAUACUAAAACUGGAACGAUACAGAGAAGAUUAGCAUGGUCCCUGUGCAAGGCUGACAUGCAAAUUGGUGAAGUGUUCCAUAUUUUU
rnacentral:snRNA from 1 species